GAUGAACGCUGGCGGCGUGCCUAAUACAUGCAAGUCGAGCGAACAGAUAAGGAGCUUGCUCCUUUGACGUUAGCGGCGGACGGGUGAGUAACACGUGGGUAACCUACCUAUAAGACUGGAAUAACUCCGGGAAACCGGGGCUAAUGCCGGAUAACAUUUAGAACCGCAUGGUUCUAAAGUGAAAGAUGGUUUUGCUAUCACUUAUAGAUGGACCCGCGCCGUAUUAGCUAGUUGGUAAGGUAACGGCUUACCAAGGCAACGAUACGUAGCUGACCUGAGAGGGUGAUCGGCCACACUGGAACUGAGACACGGUCCAGACUCCUACGGGAGGCAGCAGUGGGGAAUCUUGGGCAAUGGGCGAAAGCCUGACGGAGCAACGCCGCGUGAGUGAUGAAGGCCUUCGGAUCGUAAAACUCUGUUAUUAGGAAAGAACAAAUGUGUGAGUAACUGUGCACGUCUUGACGGUACCUAAUCAGAAAGCCACGGCUAACUACGUG
rnacentral:rRNA from 1 species